rnacentral:rRNA from 1 species
UACAGGCUUAACACAUGCAAGUCGAGGGGCAGCAUGGUCUUAGCUUGCUAAGGCUGAUGGCGACCGGCGCACGGGUGAGUAACACGUAUCCAACCUGCCGUCUACUCUUGGCCAGCCUUCUGAAAGGAAGAUUAAUCCAGGAUGGGAUCAUGAGUUCACAUGUCCGCAUGAUUAAAGGUAUUUUCCGGUAGACGAUGGGGAUGCGUUCCAUUAGAUAGUAGGCGGGGUAACGGCCCACCUAGUCAACGAUGGAUAGGGGUUCUGAGAGGAAGGUCCCCCACAUUGGAACUGAGACACGGUCCAAACUCCUACGGGAGGCAGCAGUGAGGAAUAUUGGUCAAUGGGCGAUGGCCUGAACCAGCCAAGUAGCGUGAAGGAUGACUGCCCUAUGGGUUGUAAACUUCUUUUAUAAAGGAAUAAAGUCGGGUAUGCAUACCCGUUUGCAUGUACUUUAUGAAUAAGGAUCGGCUAACUCCGUGCCAGCAGCCGCGGUAAUACGGAGGAUCCGAGCGUUAUCCGGAUUUAUUGGGUUUAAAGGGAGCGUAGAUGGAUGUUUAAGUCAGUUGUGAAAGUUUGCGGCUCAACCGUAAAAUUGCAGUUGAUACUGGAUGUCUUGAGUGCGGUUGAGGCAGGCGGAAUUCGUGGUGUAGCGGUGAAAUGCUUAGAUAUCACGAAGAACUCCGAUUGCGAAGGCAGCCUGCUAAGCUGCAACUGACAUUGAG